rnacentral:rRNA from 1 species
AAAUUGAAGAGUUUGAUCAUGGCUCAGAUUGAACGCUGGCGGCAGGCCUAACACAUGCAAGUCGAACGGUAACAGGAAGCAGCUUGCUGCUUUGCUGACGAGUGGCGGACGGGUGAGUAAUGUCUGGGAAACUGCCUGAUGGAGGGGGAUAACUACUGGAAACGGUGGCUAAUGGGAAACUGCCUGAUGGAGGGGGAUAACUACUGGAAACGGUGGCUAAU